UACAGAGGUCCCAAGCGUUGUUCGGAUCCAUUGGGCGUAAAGGGUGCGUAGGUGGCGUCGUAAGUCGGGUGUGAAAUCUCGGGGCUUAACUCCGAAACUGCAUUCGAUACUGCGGUGCUUGAGGACUGGAGAGGAGACUGGAAUUUACGGUGUAGCAGUGAAAUGCGUAGAGAUCGUAAGGAAGACCAGUGGCGAAGGCGGGUCUCUGGACAGUUCCUGACACUGAGGCACGAAGGCCAGGGGAGCAAACGGG
rnacentral:rRNA from 1 species